rnacentral:lncRNA from 1 species
CCAGCAUGGUGGCCUCGCCCUCCUCGAUGAAGCCCAGCACCUCCGUCUGGAACCCCUGCAGGAUGGCUGCAGCCUCGGCGAACAGCCGGCUCACCCUCUCCCGCUCUGCUGCGGCGGCGCUCUGCACAGGGCCACACAGAGGCCAACGAUGAGGGCGAGGAGGAGAGCGUUAUCCUGGCCCCAUCCUUCCCGGACCCCACCUUCCCACCCUGCCCUCUAGUGGGGACAGAGGGACUGGCCGGAGCUGCCCUGGACCUAUGCUAGCCCAGGGGAGCGGCUCAUGCUCAGCGGGGCCAGGCAAGUCCGCGAGCACCGGCUUGUUUGGAGAGGACCACCCCAUGCCGCGAGCUCGCACUGCCAGCAGCCUGCUUUAGGACUGCAUGGGGACCGGGUUAGGGUGGGGGCUGACCUUGAUGAGGGCCACCGUGCGCCGGGACUGUGCAAUGCAGGCGCCCAGCUCAUCCAUGCGGUCCUCCACAGCACUCAGGACUUUGGACUGCUCGGCCUGUGGAAGGCAUCCUUAAUUAGCACGUGGGCUGGCAGAGGCCGCAGGCCCACACUGGGGCACCAGGCCUUACCAAGGGGGAGAAGAGGGAUGACCCGAGAGUGGUAUUUGUGCAUGGGGGGGGGGGGGAGAGGGGACGCUGAGAGUGGCUAGGAUACCCCAUAAUAAUGCCAGAGGUGCCUCAAGCCCAAGCUGGUGCCAUUCCCAAAUGCCCGCGGAGAGCACAGGCUGGCUGGCUUGUGUCCCCUCUUUGACCAGUGGGCAAGUACAGGGCCAUCCGGGCUCCUCAGUGUCGCUCACACUCACUGGGGAACUUCCUUCAGUGAGGAAGGCACAGAGAAAGAGAGCAGGGUAGGUGCUGCAGGAGAGGGCACUCAGCUGUCUUGGGGAUCACGAUCCCCAAAGAGUCUGUGCCCCCAAUCCAGGCCUAAAAAAUGGGGAUUCCGGGCAAGUCCCCUGGGUCUUAUGAGUCACUGCUCCAGGCAGGAGAGACGGAAAAUCCCAAGGCCAGAGGCGCCAAGACCGGGCUGGAAGCCAAAGGAAACUGGGGGCGGAGGUAGCGGACCCAUCGCGGCGCACAUGCUCACACCACGGGCCCCCGGAACAGCUGGACAAGAGCGGUCUGUGUGCUCGGUCCACCCUCCGCCACACUCCUGUCGCCUGCCACACCCAUCUAAACCCGGUGCCUCAGCCCAGGGCAAAUCUGAGCUCGGACCGGCAAGGACCCGGCCUGGCGCAACAGCCGCACUUCCAGAAUCGGCCGGCCGGGACCGCGCGGGCCUGGCUCUGCUCCCUCCUGCCUUAGAUCCCCAUCGGCCCAGGCCCGGGCUUCAGGCCCCCUGCUUCCCCUUCGUGUUCUUUUCGCGUUCACACUGGGCCCCCACAACCCCCAUUCCCGUCUCUAGCAGAACGUUCCACAGCGACUGGACGGAUGACAGUGUCAGUACUGGAAACAGACGGCAAAGAGCCUCAGGUUAGAGGAGGACAUUAAGACCCUACCGGGAAAAGGGGUGGGUGGGGGGUGGGAUCCAGGGCCCUCGGCGGGCUCGCGCGGCCCUCACCCGCCCCGGCGCGCCCCCGGUGCCCGUGCCCACCUCCUGGAGCGCGCGCUCCUGCUCCAGCGGCACGAGCUCGUGGCCCUGGUGCUCCUGGGCGGCGCAGGCCUCGCACAGGCACAUGCGCUCCGCACGGCAGUAGCGCUCGAGCGGCCGCAGGUGGCGCGGGCACAGGCUCUCCUCCAGCCGGCGCAGCGGCGGCACUAGGCGGUGUCCGCGCAGCGCGGGGCUGCGCUCGUGCGGGCCCAAGUGAGCCGGGCAGAAGGAGGCGAGGCAGGAGAGGCAGGAGAGCGCGGCAGGCAGGGCGGCGCCCUCGGGGCACGCGUCGCAGCGCACCGGCUCUUCGCCACCGGGCCAGGGCUCGGGCGCGCAGGGAGCCGAAGGCUCCGGGGCGCUGGGCGGGGCGCUGGGCGACGCGGGCUCCGGGGCCGAGGCCGAGGCCGGGGCCGGGCCGGAGCCGGGCCCGGGCGCGGAGCCCGAGCCCUGGCGGAGCUGCAGCAGCUCGGACAGCGUGUGGUUCUUGCGGAGCUGCAGGCCGUCGGGGAAGGGCUCCUGGCACAGCGGGCAGCGGGCCGCGCCUCCGGGCCCGCCGGCGCCACCCGCGCCGCGGUGCGGCCAGAGCGCGCCCAGGCAGGCGAGGCAGAAGUUGUGGCCGCAGGGCAGCGUCACCGGCUCCCGGAGCGGCUCCAGGCAGAUGGGGCAGCUGAAGGGCCCGCUGCCGUCCAUAGCUCCGCGGCCNCGCGGCCGCCCGGGCACCGCCUGUUCUGCUCCCGCCUGGGAGGGACCCGGCCGGUCCGCGCUGCGGCGCCGCCCCCUGGGACCCAGGCCAAGGGUCCAGCCCCCUCCCGUCCCGGGCUCGGACCGCCCCCCAACGCCGCAGACCCGCCCGCGGGUCCCCGGACACAGGGCCCUGGCCUAGACUGCGCGGGCGGUCUUCGGCCCCGUGUGACCCCGCGGGGCUCCUGGGCGAUCGCCCCUCCUGGUCGGAAGGGAGGGCGGCGGCGGGCAGAGAAUGCGAGGGGGGGGCACCCUGGAAGGAAGCGGGGAGGGAGUUCACGCCUCCAUUACCCCUCCACUCCCCCCAGGGCCAGGCCCCCUGGCUCCAGAGGGGUCUGGCGUUCCCACCGGACCAGCCAGCCCCUUCCCGCUCCAGACCUUCUCCGAGGCACUUGUUAGCAAAAUUUCUGAGCUGCUGACUACAGAGAAAAUGAACUGCUGAUGUGUGCGUGUAUUUGCCCCUUGGCGACUCUAUUU